UACGGGGGGAGCAAGCGUUGUUCGGAUUUACUGGGCGUAAAGAGCGCGUAGGCGGCCACCGCAAGUCGGUUGUGAAAUCUCCGGGCUUAACCCGGAAAGGUCAAUCGAUACUGCGGGGCUAGAGUGCAGAAGGGGCAACUGGAAUUCUCGGUGUAGCGGUGAAAUGCGUAGAUAUCGAGAGGAACACCUGCGGCGAAGGCGGGUUGCUGGGCUGACACUGACGCUGAAGCGCGAAAGCUAGGGGAGCGAACGGG
rnacentral:rRNA from 1 species